rnacentral:misc_RNA from 1 species
GAUGAAGAACGCAGCGAAAUGCGAUAAGUAAUGUGAGUUGCAAAAUUCAGUGAAUCAUCGAAUCUUUGAACGCACAUUGCGCCCGCCAGUAUUCUGGCGGGCAUGCCUGUUCGAGCGUCAUUUCAACCAUCAAGCCCCAGGCUUGUGUUGGGGACCUGCGGCUGCCGCAGGCCCUGAAAACCAGUGGCGGGCUCGCUGUCACACCGGGCGUAGUAGAUUUUAUCUCGCUCAGGGCGUGCUGCGGGUUCCGGCCGUUAAAAAGCCUUUUUUACCCAAGGUUGACCUCGGAUCAGGUAGGAAUACCCGCUUAACUUAAGCAUAUCAAUAAGCGGAGGA